UACGUAGGGUGCGAGCGUUGUCCGGAAUCAUUGGGCGUAAAGAGCGCGCAGGCGGCCCGGCAAGUCGGGUGUGAAAUUCCUGGGCUCAACCUGGGGACUGCGCUUGAUACGGCAGAGCUUGAGGAUGGAAGAGGGUCGCGGAAUUCCCAGUGUAGAGGUGAAAUUCGUAGAUAUUGGGAAGAACACCGGUGGCGAAGGCGGCGACCUGGUCCAUUACUGACGCUGAGGCGCGACAGCGUGGGGAGCAAACAGG
rnacentral:rRNA from 1 species